UACAGAGGUCCCGAGCGUUGUUCGGAUUCACUGGGCGUAAAGGGUGCGUAGGCGGCGCGGUAAGUCGGGUGUGAAAUCUCGGAGCUUAACUCCGAAACUGCAUUCGAUACUGCCGUGCUUGAGGACUGGAGAGGAGACUGGAAUUUACGGUGUAGCGGUGAAAUGCGUAGAUAUCGUAAGGAAGACCAGUGGCGAAGGCGGGUCUCUGGACAGUCCUGACGCUGAGGCACGAAGGUCAGGGAGCAAACGGG
rnacentral:rRNA from 1 species